rnacentral:lncRNA from 1 species
UUCACAUCUGCUUCCCAGGGCUCCAAAGUUCAUGAACUUCCUCUACUUAGUAAAGUUUCUGCUUCCCAAUGUGAGUCCCUUCUUCCAGCUGGGAAACCACUGUUUCCAUCAGCAUCCCUGCCAAUAAAAUGUGACAUUCACACUGUGUCAGGAGUGAUUCAAGGAGUUUUGAAGGGUGCUUUCUCUCUCUCUCUCUCUCUCUCUCUCUCUCUCUCUCUCACCUUUUUCAAGAUAAGGAGAAAUUUUGGUCUUUCCAGGGACCAACUAAUCAUGUUUCCAGAAUGCUUGAUUAUGCCCUUCUUUGAGGUUAUGUAGAUAGGAAAAGGAACACAUGGCUCUGGCUCAUGUAAUGGAGAUGCAUUUAAAUAGAGAGGCACAAGAGCAUAUUGUGCCAAUGAAAGUUAUUCUUGAACUGACGAUACCUGUGGAAGACUUCAUGAUGUAAUGGGAGGCUUUAGAAAGUAAUUAUGCUAGGACUCAGAUAAUUUUCUUCAAUUAGGCAAAUGGGCAUCUAUUGAGGGUGAGGAAGUAUGUGUGGAGAAAUACUUUCCAUGCUGGGAGAACUGUCUUUCUGUCCUUGUCCUUUGAUCCAGCCAUACCACUGCUAGUUUAUACCCCAAAGAGAUAAUAAGGAAAGAUACUUGUACAAAAAAUUUAUAGCCUUGCUCUUUGUGGUGGUAAAAAUGGGAAAAUUAGGGGGUGUUCAUCGAUUGGGGAAUGGCUGAACAAAUUGUGGUGUCUGUUGGUGAUGGAAUACUAUUGUGCUGAAAGGAAUGAUGAACUGGAGGAAUUCCAUGGGAACUGGAAAGACCUCCAGGAACUGAUUUGAAUGAAAGGAGCAGAACCAGGAGAACAUUAUACAGAGAAAGUGAAACAUUGUGGCACAAUCUAAUAUAAUAGACUUUUCUACUAGCAACAAUGAAGUGAUCCAGAACAAUCCAGAGGAACUUAUGAGAAAGAGGACUAUCCACAUCCAGAGAAAGAACUGUGGGAGCAGAAACACAGAAGAAAAACAUAUGAUUGAUCACAUGGCUCUAUGGGAAUAUGAUUAGGGUUUUGAUAUUAAAAGGUCACUCUAUUGCAAAUAGGAAUAAUAUGGAAACAGGUUUUGAACAAUGAUACAUGUAUAACCCAGUGGAACUGCUGCAUGUCAGCUCCAGCAGGAGGGAAGGUAGAGGGGCGGAAAAAUCAUGAAUCAUGUAACCAUGGAAAAUAUUCUAAAUAAAUUUUAUAUAAAUGAAUUGUCCUUCUGGUUA